CUGUAGAGGGAGAAGGGCCUGGCUGCAGGGAGCUGGAGACACGGUUACUGUUUGUGAGCUUUGUGGAAGAAGUGAACCGUAGAAAUCAGGGGUAUAACUGCAGAGCUAUAUAAACCCAUGACAAUAUCAAGGAAAAUGGUGAAUGGACAGUGAACUGAAUGGACACUUCAGUACAAUCAAACUUGAUAACAGAAUCCAAGUGCUGUCAGAAAACAAAGAAAAUCAAGAAUAAAUCUGCUACCAAAGUUAUUUCUUCUGAAAUGACCUCAGAAAAAUCAGUCUGUUUUGUUAGCCAUGAAUUCCCAACAGAACUCUCUCUAACUGCAUUACUGACAACUAUAUUUGCCUGGAAGACCAUAGCUGAGAACUGAGAAGGAAG